AUGCCCAGGCACUUGAGGGAGGAGGUGGGUGGGGAGAGACGGGGAGGAUGUGAAUGGGGAGGGGGCAGCCGCCCCCCUUCCCCCACCCUUCCCUUCAAGCCGGGCUGGGGUGGGGGGAGGGGCCGGGCUUUGGCGGCGGCGGUGGCGGCGGCUGCUUUCUCUGGGAGGGCUGGAAGGGGAGGGCAGGGCGGGACUGGCCCGCUGCGGGCAGACGAGGGAGCGGCGGAGCUAACGGGUCGGGACGCCGGCGGCGGCAGCUUUCUGCACGGGCGGAGGCGGCGGCACGAGCGGCGAGCAUGGCCCGCGCGGCGCCCGGCGCUGACUGAGACUGUCCAGCCAAGGCCAUGCCUAGAGUCUGGCCUGCUAAAUGGAUCAAUAGAACAUUGGAAGAAACACAUUGGAGCCAGUGCUGCUGGGGCCCCUGUGGAUUACAGCCAGGAGCCCUGGGGUCACGCUGUAGCAGCCUGGCGCCUGAUGAGUGACGGGGAACCUGCCAGGGGAUUACUGCUAGCGAGCAGGACAGCCAGCCUCAGGGGAGUGGGGAUGGGCAGAGCAGCCUUGGAGCCCGGGCCAGCAGCACCAAGACGGAGGCCUGGGCCCUGGCAGGGAGCUCGGCACACGCUCGGCUGACCCAGGCGGCAUUCAAAGCAGCACCCUUCUGAGCAGCAGCUGUUCCCAGGCCCCAGAGGACCUCACAGCAGGGGCAGGAGUUAUGAGACCCCCUACGCAACUGCAUCCAGGGCUGUGACCUUCAGGAGAAAGGACUGGCACCUCAGAUGGGAAGAGGAACAGCAGAACCUAACACAAGGAGGAUCUUGGUCUCUGCAGCAGAGUUUUCUGACACCCACAGAGCUUCCUGUGUUUCUUCUCUCAGGAUUGGGGCCUGGUUCCCUCCCCUGGCAGAGGGGUUGGGCCAGGAGGGCCAACAGAGGUGGGGGCGACUCUUGCAUGGAAUCCAGGCAGCUUGAAGCCCAUGUGUUCUCUGUUGUGAUUGGGGUGCGAAGGCUUCCCCCCUGUGGGGGACGAGGGGCCGCCUCGGCAUCUGCUCAUGAACCACAAGGACCCCGAAUGCUCCAGACUGGACCGUUUCAAGCUGCCAAAGAAGGGGGCCCCCAGAGCUGGCAGCCAGCAACUCCAAGGGACUAGAGAGCUGGGAUGGAUUGACCUCCCUUUCGCUGGGGCGGCGGGAGAAGCAGAGCCUCUGUGGCCCAGCUAGUGACGGAGAGAUCUGAUGAAGCCGUAAGCAGGGGCCUGAGUGGCUCAAGGACAGGGGAGCCACUCCUGCCUACGUACUUUCUCCUUACGUUGAGGGAGGGUGGGACCCCUGCUGCUGUCCUCUUCUUGGCACGUGCCUCUAUGCCCUUUGCACGUGGUGCCAGAAUCGGCAGGCUACACCGUGGCUGGCCCGUCAACAGGCUGGGAACGGAGUGGCCACGGUGACACCCUCCUGCCCACCAGGCUGGUGGUCC
rnacentral:lncRNA from 1 species